AUUGAACGCUGGCGGCAUGCUUUACACAUGCAAGUCGAGCGGUAACAGGCCUUCGGGUGCUGACGAGUGGCGAACGGGUGAGUAAUGCAUCGGAACGUACCCAGAGGUGGGGGAUAACGCAGCGAAAGCUGUGCUAAUACCGCAUGUGAUCUGAGGAUGAAAGCGGGGGACCGAGCAGCAAUGUUUGGCCUCGCGCCUUUGGAGCGGCCGAUGUCGGAUUAGCUAGUUGGUGGGGUAAAGGCCUACCAAGGCGACGAUCCGUAGCUGGUCUGAGAGGACGACCAGCCACACUGGGACUGAGACAAGGCCCAGACUCCUAAGGGAGGCAGCAGUGGGGAAUUUUGGACAAUGGGCGCAAGCCUGAUCCAGCAAUGCCGCGUGCGGGAAGAAGGCCUUCGGGUUGUAAACCGCUUUUGGCAGGAACGAAACGGUGUCCGCUAAUACCGGGCGCUAAUGACGGUACCUGCAGAAUAAGCACCGGCUAACUACGUG
rnacentral:rRNA from 1 species